ensembl:lncRNA
GGAAUACACAACUCAUCGGUCGUGGUCACUGGAUUGUAUUGGUGGGAAGAAAAAAAUAUGGUCUGCAGGGUAAUCGAACUCGCUGCAUCUAAAGUCAAGCCAUGGGCCACAGGUAUGUUGUCGUGGCACUCUAGGGGAAACAGGGCGUGAUAUGCUCAGGUGAUUCCAUGGAAGACACUGGGUGAAGAAAAAAUUGUACCACAGGAAAACAAGCAUGCACACACACCUGCAGACAUAUUGCAAACCCACACACACGUACACACACACACACACACAUACACUUGUCUAAGACAAGAUUUUUUUGCCUCCUGUCUCAGCCUCCGGUAUUUAUGCUGCAGUAGUUUAUGUGUCGGGGGGCUAGGGUCAGUUUGUUAUAUCUGGAGUACUUCUCCUGUUCUAUUCGGUGUCCUGUGUGAAUUUAUUAAGUGUGCUCUCUCUAAUUCUCUCUUUCUCUCUUUCUUUCUUUCUCUCUCUCGGAGGACCUGAGCCCUAGGACCAUGCCUCAGGACUACCUGGCAUGAUGACUCCUUGCUGUCCCUAGUCCACCUGGCCGUGCUGCUGCUCCGGUUUCAACUGUUCUGCCUUAUUAUUAUUGGACCAUGCUGGUCAUUUAUGUACAUUUGAACAUCUUGGCCAUGUUCUGUUAUAAUCUCCACCCGGCACAGCCAGAAGAGGACUGGCCACCCCACAUAGCCUGGUUCCUCUCUAGGUUUCUUCCUAGGUUAUGGCCUUUCUAGUGAGGUUUUCCUAGCCACCGUGCUUCUACACCUGCAUUGCUUGCUGUUUGGGGUUUUAGGCUGGGUUUCUGUACAGCACUUUGAGAUAUCAGCUAAUGUACGAAGGGCUAUAUAAAUACAUUUGAUUUGAUUUGAAGAUGUGAUACAGUUUUUCCCCAAUUGCUAAAACACAAUUUUGCAAACUAAGCUGGUUUUAUCAAAAUACUUAACACAAUUCACAAAACCACACACCCAAACUGUAAAAUACCUCAUAUAUCCUGCAAAAUGAAGCACUGCAAUCAAAACUACAUACAGCAUUAUCAAAAUCAAAUGUUUGCACGAAAUGGCUCACACUUCAUUCAUAUGACCAGAUUUUUGUCUAACCAACUACACACUGUUGGGCAUAAUGAAAAGCACUCUCAUCUUUAGUAUGCUUUGCCAUAAUACUAAAAUAGUUCAAAUUGUAGAAAAUCUUCAGAUGCACAGAAAUAUUUGCAGAUACACACACAUGCUUUUGAAACAGUUUAUUUGUUAACAUUUUUCACCAAACAAGUCAGUGCAACAUAUGCACAGCAGAUAUACAGUGCCUCACUGAGCUCAAGCUGUUUUGCAAGGAGGAAUGGGAAAAAAAAUUCAGUCUCUCGAUGUGCAAAACUGAUAGAGACAUACCCCAAGCGACUUACAGCUGUAAUCGCAGCAAAAGGUGG